AACACAAUACACGUGUGAUUAUUCUCAGCCUCCACCGCUUCCCACCAUUUCCCAUCCCAUUUUCUUCUCAGGUUAGGGAGAUAGAGAGGAGCAAGAGAAAGACAAAGACCUUCCGGAAGAGAGAGCUGAGCGACGAUGAUGGAGGAACGGGUGGUGGUCUCUGUCCGGCCACCGACCGGUGGUCAUGGUCCGGUGGUUUUGACGCGUGAGAAUAUCUCUCCACCCCAAAUUCAUCUUUGUAACCCUAACACCAUCUCCGGCACCACCAAAUUCCACCAUAUCCGGCCACUUAUCCACACGAGGGGCAUGCGAUAUCUGAACCACCGCUCAACCUCCGCUCCGCCGCUUGACCUCCGGCCGGCGUCACACUCAUCAUCGCCUGAAUAUCCAUCUGAAGCGAAGCUUACCCAUGGUGUCCUCCAGUUUCGUUACAGUACCUAAACCCUUUUCUUCUUUUGCUAUAGGCCUUUCUUCUCCUUUGAUCUCCACUAAAUCCACAACUAUUUAAUGUCCGCUAAUUUAUUAUUUUAUAAGCUUCACCGAUUACAAUUUUUUAUUUGAUUUAACAGGUCUAUAAAAGAAUUCGUUCAAGGUUAGUGCUAUUGCAAGCAAGUAUAUUGUUUCUUUGCAGUGAUUCAUAGUGUACCACAUUCUGACAUAGUCGGUUCAUGGGUUCAAGAAGGUAAUGGCGUCAAGUUGAUUGGGUGAAUCAAAAUUUAAGGGCUACAAGAUGUUAUAAAAAAGACCAAAUAGAAAAGUGUUAAAAUUUCAAGCUCAUUGUGGACUGUAAGGUGAUUCAAAUCCGGGACUACCAUUGGGUUGCAGUUUGGGGUUGUGGUAUGUUUCGUAUCAUAUUGCAGACAAGCGCCUAACCUGGUCAAUCUAAGCACCAAAGGGUUAUUUUUUUUUUUUUUUUGAACGGCUAAUGGCACACAACUCCUAAUUACUAUUAAAAUGCACCAAAUUAUCACGUUUCUUGGUAUCGAACCCAUGACCUCCCACUAAGAGGUGUGGAUGAAAGGGAAGGAAAAAACUAAUCAUGGCGGAGUGGUGGCAUACACGCGUGGAGCUAAAAGAUCCAGAUGAAAAGAUGCAGAAAUGAUAGCUUUAUCGACGAAAUCGUUGUUGGAGACGAACUGAUUCGUGUCGGAGAUUUGUAGCAAGGGGUUUCAGAGAGACCUGAAUUUGCAGCUUCAUAGAAGAGGUCAUAACUUACCAUGGAAGCUUAAGCAACAAAACAAACAUGAAGUUGCCAGGAAGAAGGUUUAUAUAUGUCUGGAAAUAAGUUGUGUUGGUCAUGAUUCGGCUUGAGCUCUAUCUUACCGGAGUUAAGAAACAUAAAUGGAAGUGUGGAAAUAGUUCCAAGUAGUAUGCAGUUCAGUUGGUUUGGAAAGCCCAAAGCAAGAUUUGUGUUACUAGAUAGUAUAAGUGUAAUUGUGGAGCAUUGUUUUUAAGGUAUGUAUUGUCUUCGAAUAUAUGUUGUAGUAAUUGGUUGUGGUUAGAUUUUUAGAUUAGAGUACUUUAUGUUGUGGUGAAUUGGAUUAGAGGAGGUAGUUAUCGUUGUUGUCAAUAGUAAAGGUUGAAGGACAAUAGAACCAAAUCGAGUUACUUGCGUUUUAUAUGCCGAUUUUGAA